AGGCAGAGACGUCUCCUAAUGGCCCAGAUUGCGGUUAUGGCUCCUUUCACCAGCAGUACUGGCUUGACGGAAAGAUCAUUGCUGUGGGCGUGAUUGACAUCCUUCCACACUGUGUAUCGUCUGUGUAUUUGUACUACGAUCCUGAUUAUUCGUUUCUGUCUUUGGGAGUCUACUCUGCACUCCGAGAAAUUGCUUUUACUCGGCACCUUCAUGAGAAGACGUCUCAACUCAGCUAUUAUUAUAUGGGUUUCUACAUUCAUUCAUGUCCUAAGAUGAAAUACAAGUGGACGAAGGUCGCAGCAAGGAACCUGACCGCCUGCAGGUGCUUUACAAGAAAGCCAUCAUGCCUUACGGCGUUUACAAGAAACAGCAGAAAGACCCACGCGACGAGGCCGCCGUGCUGCAGUACGCGGCCCUGGUGGGGCAGGCGUGCUCGGAGCGGAUGCUGCUCUUCAGAAACUGAGCGGGCGCCCCUGCCCCUGCCGCGGGCUGCUGCUGGGGGCUGCGGCGCAGGUCCAUCGCUCUGGGUCAGUGCCGUUCCCAUCCACAGAUUAGACUUUUUUAUUUUGACGGCUCUCUGGUUUUUCUAAAAUAUUUUGUGGCAAUGUAUUUGUGAGAAUCUCAUGGUUCAUAUAAAGAUUUUUAACAUAGGUUGCGACCUAGACUCCAAUUGAGGUUUGUCAUUUUGCAGUUUGGCUUUAUGAGCAAGAGAUGGUAACCUUCUCCUGAUAACAUUUUGGAAAGUGAAAUGAAUGAAUAGGUCUUAAGUAAUUUAAGUCGCAGUUGUGCUUUUCUGUUCUGUUAGAGAAAUUAAAACAGACUGUUUCCUCUGAUCCACUUACAACAUUCGCGUCUGCUGAAAGCGAAGUGUGGGGAGAAGGCGGGAUUGUGUUUCAUCGCUUAGAAAAUGUCUCCUCAAGGGAACACAGCGGGCUGUUACUCAGUGUUCAGUGUGACAUCACUGCCCGAUGUUACACUCUGCAGUUUAGUAGACAACUUCAAAGAAAGGAUAUUGUGUUAACAUUGGAUGUGUUUUUACCCAGGACAGCCCUAUUCUUGGUCUGCUCUCUUGAAUGGACCAUUUUUCCUAUAGUAAUUACUGCUUGUGCUCCAUUUUACUCUCCCAAGUCUCUCAGUUUGGCCCAUAAAAUAUGUGAUGACCCUAAUUAUAUGUUAUAUUGUACAAACUGGGGUACUUUGUUUCUCAAAAUCUAAGAAAUGGAGGGUUUUUUGGUUUUUGGUUUUGUCUUGUUUUUUUUUGAACCCAUCAAAGGUAAAUGUACGCUAACUUUUAUUUCCUUAAAACUCAGGACACAAGUCUUUGGUUAUCGAUUAAAAAUUAGUUAAUAUCUGCCUACCUUUCUAGCUGCGCCGCACGUCGCACUUAAUGAAGCAGGAAGCAUUUUGACCUCUGACCAGGGCAGGAGGCACACAACAGCCACUCGUGUGCUGCGCUUUGGUUUGGAAGAGUCAGAGGAGACGAGCGUCGGCACCUGAGCAGAGGCCGGCGCUCUUUCCCUGUCCCUUCCCUCGUUCAGCAGGUGUCCCUCGUCCCACACUUUAAGGUGGCAGGCACUGUGCCACGAGGGACAGGAAGGAGCAGGCAUGUCUGCUGCAGCUGCGCUGGAGACGGCGAGGGCGGGGAAGGCUCACUCUCUUGUGCUCUUGCUUGGCUGCUCCCCUUCUGCUGCCACCUGCUUGGCUCCCGAGUCCUUUUCAUGUCCCCCUUGGCCCAUUUUUCCAUUUUCUAUUGAUCUUUUUAAAAAACUAUAUUAUAAAACUUAAUGGCUUGACUCCCACUACUGAUUUUAAACUUUUCUCCUAAAUGCACUGAAUUUAGAUAUGCAGUUGGAAGUGUUAGAAAAUAAUUCAAGGUAGUUAGAAUAAAAGGAUCAUAAAACAGUGACUUUAAAAAACAAAUGUCUAGAAGGUCCACGUCCAGAGUUCUUUACUCGGAGCGAAUGUGCGUCUGUCGCAGCUGCCAUGAGCAGGUACUCAGGGGACUGGGGAUAGAGGCGGAUGGCGUGGACUUUGCGUGCUUCCGGAGCUUCGUCCUUCAGAACAGUCUCUCCCAAGAGCAGUUGACAGACUCUUUUAGAACUGCCUUCAGAAUCUAUACAACAUCUUUUUAAAAAUUUCCCUCUAAAGUAAUAAUUUUUAUGAUUUAUGAAAUGAUGCUAUAAGCAACUAAAACAUUUUUAAAAGAAUAAAUAAAAAAGAAUAACCUGAGGAGUUCCCUUCGUGGCUCAGUGGUUAACAAGCCUGACUAGGAUCCAUGAGGAUGCAGGUUCGAUCCUUGGCCUCACUCAGUGGGUUAAGGAUCCAGCAUUGCUGUGCGCUGUGGUGUAGGUCGCAGACAUGGCUCAGAUCCCAAGUUACUGUAGCUAUGGUGUAGGCCAGCAGCUACAGCUCCGAUUUGACCCCUAGCCUGGGAACCUCCAUAUGUGGUGGUGUAGCCCUAAAAUAGCAAAAAAAGAAAGAAAGAAUGACCUGAAAUCCAUUGAAAGAAACUUCGAUACGGGACAUUUCAGACGUGCUGUGAGGAAUUGCAGUGUUAUUAAAGUUAAGCAGCGCAGGGUCCAUACUUGGUCCCCUGGGCACUCGGACACCCAGGUUGAUCUCCUCAGGCAUGUUACACCUGCUGUCAUCGUAGUAAUUAACUUAUAGAAUGGGAUUAAUUAAGACCACAACUGGUGUUUAUCAAAUGAAGAGAAAACUCGAAUCUUAUUUCUUACCACAGCUCUGGUUUCUUCUUGCCGAAUCAGUUUAGGGUUCCUUCAGAGGCAAGUGAUAAACUCCCCCAUCUAUUGUGGGAACCGUGCUGGUGCCCCUGGGAGUGGCCUCCUGGGUUGACUCCAGUGAUGCUCCAGAGAAGAGGGGGCAUGAAGCUGCUUCUGCUCAGUUGUUGUAUUAAUGUGUGGUCUUUGGAGAGUAAAGUGUCUUCAAAAGACAUUCUUUUGAGCGCUCGCUAAGUGAAUGUUGAUAGUGGGCUAGGAAAGGACAGUCAAGGAACAUGACUUGGCUUGGUCAGUGGAUAAGCAGUCCAGCUGAGAAAUCUGAUGUUAUGUUUGUGGCUCUCAUUUAAAGGACACAUGAGAACCUUUCAAAGGGGGCUUCUGUCUUUUCAAAGCUGUAAGCUUUGAAUUUGCUGUCUUAGUGUUGUAGAGUCCCUUUCUAAUUUUAGAUAAAUUUACACCUCCCUCCCUGUCUUGGGAGCAAAAAUGUAAUAGAGAUUCCCCAGGCUGCCAUCUGCAUUUAAAUUAUUUCAGUUCUAUGAGAUUUUUUUGUUAUUUUAAAAAAAUGUAAUCUGAGCACUUUUUUAUAUUCUAAAAGAUAGAGGCUGUUAUCAGAUGAAUAUAUUAUUCAUUUGAUUAAAGUUAUUUAGAUAAGAAAUUACUCUUGUUUAUGUUUUCUUUCAAACAGCUUAUCCUAAUUUUUAUCCAUUGUGCAAGAUAUCAGUUGUAUAUGUUUUCUAAACACAUGGGAAUGUAUUAUGUAAAUGAACCUUUCCAGAUUUCUGGACAGUUAUAUAGUUUGAUUUUUAUAGGCUUUUAUUCAGUAUGAAUAAAGAUGAGAGAUGAAGACAGGUACUUAAAACGUAUCUUCUGUUGCUAACUUUAAAGAAGGAAAUGAAAUGGAAACAGUUGGGAAAUGUUUGAUUAGAACUCACUCAAAUGUGUAUUACUUUCCAAAAGAAAACCAGUGACUGCAAGACAAAACAAAUUUGAUUGCAUGUGAUAUUUUCUGCUCUUGUAUGUGCUUCUUGAACAGUCCAUUUGAUAAAGCUUGAAUGGAAAAAAAUAAAACUUUCUAUCU
rnacentral:lncRNA from 1 species